GAGUUUGAUCGUGGCUCAGGAUGAACGCUAGCGGCAGGCCUAACACAUGCAAGUCGAGGGGCAGCGGGAUUGAAGCUUGCUUUCUUUGCCGGCGACCGGCGCACGGGUGAGUAACACGUAUCCAACCUGCCCUUUACUCGGGGAUAGCCUUUCGAAAGAAAGAUUAAUACCCGAUGGCAUAAUGAUUCCGCAUGGUUUCAUUAUUAAAGGAUUCCGGUAAAGGAUGGGGAUGCGUUCCAUUAGGUUGUUGGUGAGGUAACGGCCCACCAAGCCUUCGAUGGAUAGGGGUUCUGAGAGGAACGGUCCCCCACAUUGGAACUGAGACACGGUCCAAACUCCUACGGGAGCAGCAGUGAGGAAUAUUGGUCAA
rnacentral:rRNA from 1 species